rnacentral:rRNA from 1 species
GAUGAACGCUGGCGGCGUGCCUAAUACAUGCAAGUCGAGCGAACAGACGAGGAGCUUGCUCCUCUGACGUUAGCAGCGGACGGGUGAGUAACACGUGGAUAACCUACCUAUAAGACUGGGAUAACUUCGGGAAACCGGAGCUAAUACCGGAUAAUAUAUUGAACCGCAUGGUUCAAUAGUGAAAGACGGUUUUGCUGUCACUUAUAGAUGGAUCCGCGCCGCAUUAGCUAGUUGGUAAGGUAACGGCUUACCAAGGCAACGAUGCGUAGCCGACCUGAGAGGGUGAUUGGCCACACUGGAACUGAGACACGGUCCAGACUCCUACGGGAGGCAGCAGUAGGGAAUCUUCCGCAAUGGGCGAAAGCCUGACGGAGCAACGCCGCGUGAGUGAUGAAGGUCUUCGGAUCGUAAAACUCUGUUAUUAGGGAAGAACAAAUGUGUAAGUAACUAUGCACGCCUUGACGGUACCUAAUCAGAAAGCCACGGCUAACUACGUG